rnacentral:rRNA from 1 species
AUUGAACGCUGGCGGCAGGCCUAACACAUGCAAGUCGAGCGAGCGGCGGACGGGUGAGUAAUGUCUGGGAAACUGCCUGAUGGAGGGGGAUAACUACUGGAAACGGUAUCUAAUACCGCAUACCACCAGAUCUUACCAGAUGGGAUUAGCUAGUAGGUGGGGUAACGGCUAACCUAGGCGACGAUCCCUAGCUGGUCUGAGAGGAUGACCAGCCACACUGGAACUGAGACACGGUCCAGACUCCUACGGGAGGCAGCAGUGGGGAAUAUUGCACAAUGGGCGCAAGCCUGAUGCAGCCAUGCCGCGUGUGUGAAGAAGGCCUUCGGGUUGUAAAGCACUUUCAGCGGGGAGGCGUUACCCGCAGAAGAAGCACCGGCUAACUCCGUGCCAGCAGCCGCGGUAAUUC